GCACUCCCUAGCUACGUUGGGAGAGCAGCAAACGGCUCAGUAACAUGUAGUCAAUCUGCCCUUAGGAUGGGAAUAACCCUGGGAAACUGGGGCUAAUAUCCGAUAGAUGGAAGCGCCUGGAAUGGUCUUCCGUUGAAAGUUUUCGGGAACAUGCUUCCGAGAGCGCCUAAGGAUGAGACUGCAGCCGAUCAGGCUGUUGGUGAGGUAACGGCCCACCAAACCUAUAACCGGUACGGGCCCUGAGAGGGGAAGCCCGGAGAUGGGAACUGAGACAAGGUCCUAGGUCCUACGGGGCGCAGCAGGCGCGAAAACUUCGCAAUGCGCGAAAGCGCGACGAGGUUAUCCUGAGUGCCGUCUGAAAGGAUGGCUUUUCAUCGACGUAAACAGUCGGUGGAAUAAGGGGAGGGCAAGACUGGCGUCAGCCGCCGCGGUAAUACCAGCCCCCCGAGUGGUAGGGACAAUUAUUUGGCCUAGAGCGUUCGUAGCCUGCUCGGUAGGUCCUCCGUCAAAUCUGACGAUCCCAUCGUCAGACUGCGGGGGAUACCGCCGGGCUAGGAGGCGGGAGAGGUCGACGGUAGUCCAGGGGUAGGGGUGGAAUCCUAUAAUCCUUGGAGGACCACCAGUGGCGAAGGCGGUCGACCAGAACGCGCUCGACGGUGAGGGACGAAAGCUGGGGGAGCAAACCGGAUUAGAUACCCGGGUAGUCCCAGCUGUAAACGAUGCGAGCUAGGUGUUUGGAAGCGGCUACGGGGCCGCUCCAGUGCCUCAGGGAAGCCCUUAAGCUCGCCGCCUGGGGGGGUACGGUCGCAAGGCUGAAACUUAAAAGGAAUUGGCGGGGGGAGCACCACAAAGGCGUGAAGGCUGCGGUUUAA
rnacentral:rRNA from 1 species